rnacentral:rRNA from 1 species
GACGAACGCUGGCGGCGUGCUUAACACAUGCAAGUCGAACGGAAAGGCCCUGCUUUUGUGGGGUGCUCGAGUGGCGAACGGGUGAGUAACACGUGAGUAACCUGCCCUUGACUUUGGGAUAACUUCAGGAAACUGGGGCUAAUACCGGAUAGGAGCUCCUGCUGCAUGGUGGGGGUUGGAAAGUUUCGGCGGUGGGGGAUGGACUCGCGGCUUAUCAGCUUGUUGGUGGGGUAGUGGCUUACCAAGGGUUUGACGGGUAGCCGGCCUGAGAGGGUGACCGGGGACAUUGGGACUGAGAUAGGGCGCAGACUGCUACGUGAGGCAGCAGUGGGGAAUAUUGCACAAUGGGCGGAAGCCUGAUGCAGCAACGUCGCGAGCGGGAUGACGGCUUUCGGGGUGUAAACCGCUGUCGCAUGUGACGAAGCGUGAGUGACGGUAACGGGUAAAGAAGCACCGGCUAACUACGUG